rnacentral:rRNA from 1 species
GACGAACGCUGGCGGCGUGCCUAAUACAUGCAAGUCGAACGGUCUUUUCUAUGGAAGCUUGCUUCCACUGAGAAGAUAGUGGCGAACGGGUGAGUAACACGUGGGUAACCUGCCCAUAAGAGGGGGAUAACAUCCGGAAACGGGUGCUAAUACCGCAUAGUUUUCUUGAUCGCAUGAUCGGGAAAGGAAAGACGGCCUUUGUGCUGUCGCUUAUGGAUGGACCCGCGGCGUAUUAGUUAGUUGGUGAGGUAACGGCUCACCAAGACGAUGAUACGUAGCCGACCUGAGAGGGUGAUCGGCCACAUUGGGACUGAGACACGGCCCAAACUCCUACGGGAGGCAGCAGUAGGGAAUCUUCCGCAAUGGACGAAAGUCUGACGGAGCAACGCCGCGUGAGUGAAGAAGGUUUUCGGAUCGUAAAACUCUGUUGUCAGAGAAGAACAAGUUGGAGAGUAACUGCUCCAGCCUUGACGGUAUCUGACCAGAAAGCCACGGCUAACUACGUGCCAGCCGCCGCAGUAACAC